AUUGAACGCUGGCGGCAUGCUUUACACAUGCAAGUCGAACGGCAGCGGGGUAGUGCUUGCACUACUGCCGGCGAGUGGCGAACGGGUGAGUAAUAUAUCGGAACGUACCGAGUAAUGGGGGAUAACCAAUCGAAAGAUUGGCUAAUACCGCAUACGUCCUGAGGGAGAAAGCGGGGGAUCGCAAGACCUCGCGUUAUUCGAGCGGCCGAUAACUGAUUAGCUAGUUGGUGGGGUAAAGGCCUGCCAAGGCGACGAUCAGUAGCGGGUCUGAGAGGACGAUCCGCCACACUGGGACUGAGACACGGCCCAGACUCCUACGGGAGGCAGCAGUGGGGAAUUUUGGACAAUGGGGGCAACCCUGAUCCAGCCAUGCCGCGUGUAUGAAGAAGGCCUUCGGGUUGUAAAGUACUUUUGUUAGGGAAGAAAAGGGAAGUGCUAAUACCACUUUUUGCUGACGGUACCUAAAGAAUAAGCACCGGCUAACUACGUG
rnacentral:rRNA from 1 species